GGGAAUAAUUGGCAAUGAGAGAAAAACCUGAUCCAACCAUUCCGCGUGUGUGAAAGAAGGUCUUUUGAUUGUAAAGCCCUUUNAGUUGGGAGGAAGGGCAGUUACCUAAUACGUGAUUGUUUUGACGUUACCGACAGAAUAAGCACCGGCUAACUCUGUUCCAGCAGCCGCGGUAAUACAAGAGGGUGCAAGCGUUNAUCGGAAUUACUGGGCGUAAAGCGCGCGUAGGUGGUUAGUUAAGUUGGAUGUGAAAUCCCCGGGCUCAACCUGGGAACUGCAUUCAAAACUGACUGACUAGAGUAUGGUAGAGGGUGGUGGAAUUUCCUGUGUAGCGGUGAAAUGCGUAGAUAUAGGAAGGAACACCAGUGGCGAAGGCGACCACCUGGACUGAUACUGACACUGAGGUGCGAAAGCGUGGGAGCAACCAG
rnacentral:rRNA from 1 species